UACAGAGGUCCCGAGCGUUGUUCGGAUUCACUGGGCGUAAAGGGUGCGUAGGUGGCUUGAAAAGUUUGAUGUGAAAGCUCAGGGCUUAACCCUGAAAUGGCAUUGAAUACUGUCGAGCUGGAAGUUUGGAGGGGGGACUGGAAUUCUUGGUGUAGCAGUGAAAUGCGUAGAUAUCAAGAGGAACACCAGUGGCGAAGGCGAGUCCCUGGACAACACCUGACACUGAGGCACGAAAGCUAGGGGAGCAAACAGG
rnacentral:rRNA from 1 species